GAUGAACGCUAGCUACAGGCUUAACACAUGCAAGUCGAGGGGAAACGGCAUUUAGUGCUUGCACCGAAUGGACGUCGACCGGCGCACGGGUGAGUAACGCGUAUCCAACCUUCCCAUAACUAAGGGAUAACCUGCCGAAAGGCAGACUAAUACCUUAUGUAAUCCUUUGAUGGCAUCAGAUAAGGAUAAAAGAUUUAUCGGUUAUGGAUGGGGAUGCGUCUGAUUAGCUUGUUGGCGGGGUAACGGCCCACCAAGGCAACGAUCAGUAGGGGUUCUGAGAGGAAGGUCCCCCACAUUGGAACUGAGACACGGUCCAAACUCCUACGGGAGGCAGCAGUGAGGAAUAUUGGUCAAUGGACGGAAGUCUGAACCAGCCAAGUAGCGUGCAGGAUGACGGCCCUAUGGGUUGUAAACUGCUUUUGUAUGGGGAUAAAGUCAAUCACGUGUGAUUGUUUGCAGGUACCAUACGAAUAAGGACCGGCUAAUUCCGUGCCAGCAGCCGCGGUAAUACGGAAGGUUCGGGCGUUAUCCGGAUUUAUUGGGUUUAAAGGGAGCGUAGGCCGGAGAUUAAGUGUGUUGUGAAAUGUAGACGCUCGACGUCUGACUUGCAGCGCAUACUGGUUUCCUUGAGUACGCACAACGUUGGCGGAAUUCGUCGUGUAGCGGUGAAAUGCUUAGAUAUGACGAAGAACUCCGAUUGCGAAGGCAGCUGACGGGAGCGCAACUGACGCUGAAGCUCGAAGGUGCGGGUAUCGAACAGG
rnacentral:rRNA from 1 species